UAGAAACUUCUUAUAGCCGGAACCUUUUGAAAGUAAAAAGUGUAACAAGGUCUCCGUUGGUGAACCAGCGGAGGGAUCAUUACCGAGUUUACAACUCCCAAACCCAAUGUGAACGUUACCAAACUGUUGCCUCGGCGGGAUCUCUGCCCCGGGUGCGUCGCAGCCCCGGACCAAGGCGCCCGCCGGAGGACCAACCAAAACUCUUAUUGUAUACCCCCUCGCGGGUUUUUUAUAAUCUGAGCCUUCUCGGCGCCUCUCGUAGGCGUUUCGAAAAUGAAUCAAAACUUUCAACAACGGAUCUCUUGGUUCUGGCAUCGAUGAAGAACGCAGCGAAAUGCGAUAAGUAAUGUGAAUUGCAGAAUUCAGUGAAUCAUCGAAUCUUUGAACGCACAUUGCGCCCGCCAGUAUUCUGGCGGGCAUGCCUGUCCGAGCGUCAUUUCAACCCUCGAACCCCUCCGGGGGGUCGGCGUUGGGGAUCGGCCCUCCUCCAGCGGGGGCCGUCUCCGAAAUACAGUGGCGGUCUCGCCGCAGCCUCUCCUGCGCAGUAGUUUGCACACUCGCAUCGGGAGCGCGGCGCGUCCACAGUGGAAAAACACGCAGCAACUGAACAUAUGACAUCGGAGCAGCUGUGAGUAACUGG
rnacentral:rRNA from 1 species